rnacentral:rRNA from 1 species
AGUGGGGAAUAUUGGACAAUGGGCGAAAGCCUGAUCCAGCCAUGCCGCGUGUGUGAAGAAGGUCUUCGGAUUGUAAAGCACUUUAAGUUGGGAGGAAGGGCAGUAAGUUAAUACCUUGCUGUUUUGACGUUACCGACAGAAUAAGCACCGGCUAACUUCGUGCCAGCAGCCGCGGUAAUACGAAGGGUGCAAGCGUUAAUCGGAAUUACUGGGCGUAAAGCGCGCGUAGGUGGUUUGAUAAGUUGGAUGUGAAAGCCCCGGGCUCAACCUGGGAAUUGCAUCCAAAACUGUCUGACUAGAGUAUGGCAGAGGGUGGUGGAAUUUCCUGUGUAGCGGUGAAAUGCGUAGAUAUAGGAAGGAACACCAGUGGCGAAGGCGACCACCUGGGCUAAUACUGACACUGAGGUGCGAAAGCGUGGGUAGCAAACAGGAUUAGAUACCCUGGUAGUCCACGCUGUAAACGAUGUCAACUAGCCGUUGGAGGACUUGAUCCUUUAGUGGCGCAGCCAACGCGAUAAGUUGACCGCCUGGGGAGUACGGCCGCAAGGUUA